GUGCUUGCUUUGGCAGCACAUAUACUAAAAUUGCAGCAAUACAGAGAUCAAUGUGGGCCCCUACUCAAGGAUGACAUGCAAAUUUGUGAAGGGUUGCAUAGUUUA
ensembl:snRNA U6 U6 spliceosomal RNA